rnacentral:pre_miRNA from 14 species
GCCAGGCCCCGGGUCCUCCGCUCCGGCCCCGCGACGAGCCCCUCGCACAAACCGGACCUGAGCGUUUUGUUCGUUCGGCUCGCGUGAGGCAGGGGCGGCUUCUCAGCAUAAGCCCCG